rnacentral:rRNA from 1 species
UGUUUUGAAAGAUUUCUUCGGAAUGAAUUUGAUUUAGUUUAGUGGCGGACGGGUGAGUAACGCGUGAGUAACCUGCCUUCAAGAGGGGGAUAACAUUCUGAAAAGAAUGCUAAUACCGCAUGAUAUAUCGGAACCACAUGGUUCUGAUAUCAAAGAUUUUAUCGCUUGAAGAUGGACUCGCGUCCGAUUAGUUAGUUGGUGAGGUAACGGCUCACCAAGACCGCGAUCGGUAGCCGGACUGAGAGGUUGAACGGCCACAUUGGGACUGAGACACGGCCCAGACUCCUACGGGAGGCAGCAGUGGGGGAUAUUGCGCAAUGGGGGCAACCCUGACGCAGCAACGCCGCGUGAAGGAUGAAGGUUUUCGGAUUGUAAACUUCUUUUAUUAAGGACGAAAAAUGACGGUACUUAAUGAAUAAGCUCCGGCUAACUACGUGCCAGCAGCCGCGGUAAUACGUAGGGAGCAAGCGUUGUCCGGAUUUACUGGGUGUAAAGGGUGCGUAGGCGGCUUUGCAAGUCAGAUGUGAAAUCUAUGGGCUCAACCCAUAAACUGCAUUUGAAACUGUAGAGCUUGAGUGAAGUAGAGGCAGGCGGAAUUCCCCGUGUAGCGGUGAAAUGCGUAGAGAUGGGGAGGAACACCAGUGGCGAAAGCGGCCUGCUGGGCUUUAACUGACGCUGAGGCACGAAAGCGUGGGUAGCAACAGGAUUAGAUACCCUGGUAGUCCACGCCGUAACGAUGAGUGCUAAGUGUUGGAGGGUUUCCGCCCUUCAGUGCUGCAGCUAACGCAUUAAGCACUCCGCCUGGGG